rnacentral:rRNA from 1 species
UACGUAGGGGGCGAGCGUUGUCCGAAGCGACUGGGCGUAAAGCGCACGUAGGCGGCCCUGUCAGUGACCUCUAGAAGGUGGCAGCUCAACUGCCGAGGGUGGGGUCAGACGGGAGGGCUUGAGGCGAGCAGAAGAGUGUGGAACUCCGAGUGUAGCGGUGGAAUGCGUAGAGAUCGGGAGGAACACCAGAGGCGAAGGCGGCGACCUGGACAGGUACUGACACUCAACUACGAAAGCGUGGGGAGCAAACAGG